CAAAAAAUCCACAAACAGCAAGUGCUGGAGAGGGUAUGGAGAAAAGGGAACCCUCUUGCACUGCUGAUGGGAAUAAUGAAGUGCUGGCAGUGUGGAGGAGAAGACCUGAGAGAGGACGAGAGAGCCUGAGAAGGGAAAGGCCAGACUAGGGAAAUGACAAAACGUAAAUUCAAGCGAUUUACUUAUUCAAGUUCAAAAUGGGUCGUAAAGCAGUGGAGACAACUAGCAGCAUCAACAAUGCAUUUGGUCCAGGAACUGCUAGGGAAUGUCCAGUGCAGUAGUGGUUCAAGAAGUUUUUCAAAGGAGAUGAGAGGCUUGA
ensembl:lncRNA